AAGUUUAGGUUAAUACAAACCAAGAGCCUUCAAAGCCCUAAACACGAGCAACCACCCUCAUAACUUC
rnacentral:tRNA from 1 species